UGUAAUUUAUCGCUCCAGAACGAUCUCGUUCCCAAACGAUAAUCGUUAGAAGCAAUCGUAAAAUCAGUUUAGCGAGAUUGUACAAAUUUCCAAUUUUAUAAACACUAUCGUAAUCGUAAAGCUUUGAAAUCGUUAGCGGAACGAUGAAUCUAAUGUUUUUAGAAUCGGUAGUAUUUAAAUUUGUGUAGCGUCUAGAUUACGUUGUUCUCUGUUGUGACAUGUGACAUUUGUUUUGCUACUGAUUGAAGUUUGGACAAAUUUGUGAACUUUAUAACAUUUUACAAUACGUUCACGGGAGCAAUGGAAAAACGUAAAAGGGCCCAGCGUAUUACCCAAGAGUAACAUGAGUUGUAUGUGGAGCAGUUAGAAGGUAAUGUAGAUUUUAGGCCCCAAAAGUUCGUAGCGGACAAGCCAGAUCUUUUAGAAAAGAUAUGGGAAGGGUUGGUAGCAAAACUAAAUUCUGUGGGAGGACCACAAAAAAGUGUUCAGCAGUUCAGAGAGGUAUGUGUAAUUAAUGAAUCUCCCGAACACUCUUUUUAAAAAUGUGUACUUUACUAUAAUUUAUCGUACAACUAUUAGCAAUUAUUCUGCUUACAUCAACACUUUGGUUAUGACAAAGUAAACAUCUUGUUUAGUCAUGACCAAUCAAUUAUGAGAACUGAGAUGUUUAAUCUUUAUAAAUACUGUUACACAAUAAACCAUAACCUCUGUGUUUUUUAGUACACCAAGAAUAUAACAUAGAGCACUCUAAUUACAAUGUACUGCCUGGUAAGUAAACGUCACUGUGUGUUCCAGAGAUUUGUAGAUUGGAAAUUCAAUGUUUGAAAGAAGGCCAGAAAUUUAAGACUAUGUGAAAGAGGAACUGUUUAAUAAUUUCAUUAUGUUGUAAAAAAAAUAAUAAAUACAUUAUUGAAAAUGCUGUAUUAUUAAAUUAUUUCUUGUGAUAUGCCAUUCAUGUAGUAAAUUGUGUUCUUCAUAUUCAAGUUCUUCAUUAUUAUCGUUCUUCUUGUCAUAGACAAUAUUGAUCUCGUCAUUUUCGAUAUUUCUUAUGCGUAAGAUUGUGUGAAACAGCACAUGAGUAUGUAAUUUUUCCUGCAACUUCUGGUGAAUAAUACAGAACUCUGCGGCAGUAUUUCUGGAAAUGUAUCUCUCGCCGCUUCCCAUUACAGUUGGUAGG